AUCCGACAGCAGAUCAGCCGGCAGAUGAGAUGAAAUAAGAUGAGCCGAGAUGAGAUGAGACAACGAGCACAGGUUCGGUUAUUAAUGAUGAGUUAUGGGUUCAGACCUCCUUCGGUGACGGGUCCGAUCACCAUCAUCAUGGCUGGCAACUGGAACAACUGAAACAACUAAAACAACCAAUGUUCUCGGAAGGUAGAACAAAUUCUUUUCUCCUCACCGAUCUCGUAAAUCUCGUCCUAUUCGUAACCCAGCAUUGACUGAACGAAUCGAGCUGAAUUUUCACAAAACUAUAGCAUUUCCAGUUUCUACCUACCGCAGCAGGGAAAUUGUGUAUGGAACCCCAGAAAGUUUAGCCCGCAUUUCAGAGUCGAUCAAGUUAUUAACUGGAAAUUUCGAUUCUUCUGUAGGGCGCUCUCUACUUUAUUUGAUAAAUAGGCGCACGCCUAGAACGAGCUAAUCGGAAACUUCCGGCACAUCGAAACUUAUAAAUAAAGUCCUCUUUACACGCAGAAAAACGUUUUCAACAAA